GGAUCAGUAGGUUGGUCGUGCCACCGGUACGUACUGGUCUCACUGAUUCCUCCUUCCUGAAGAGCCGUAAUGCCAUUAAUUUGGUGUUGCGGGGAAACAGGACUGUUACUUUGAAAAAAUUGGAGUGUUUAAAGCAAGCUAACGCUUGAAUACAUUAGCAUGGAAUAAUGAAAUAGGACGAUCGAUCCUAUUUUGUUGGUUUCUAGGAUUGACGUA
rnacentral:rRNA from 1 species